AGGGAAUCUUCCACAAUGGACGCAAGUCUGAUGGAGCAACGCCGCGUGAGUGAAGAAGGUUUUCGGACCGUAAAGCUCUGUUGUUGGUGAAGAAGGAUAGAGGUAGUAACUGGCCUUUAUUUGACGGUAAUCAACCAGAAAGUCACGGCUAACUACGUGCCAGCAGCCGCGGUAAUACGUAGGUGGCAAGCGUUGUCCGGAUUUAUUGGGCGUAAAGCGAGCGCAGGCGGAAGAAUAAGUCUGAUGUGAAAGCCCUCGGCUUAACCGAGGAAUUGCAUCGGAAACUGUUUUCUUGAGUGCAGAAGAGGAGAGUAGAACUCCAUGUGUAGCGGUGGAAUGCGUAGAUAUAUGGAAGAAUACCAGUGGCGAAGGCGGCUCUCUGGUCUGCAACUGACGCUGAGGCUCGAAAGCAUGGGUAGCGAACAGGAUUAGAUACCCUGGUAGUCCAUGCCGUAAACGAUGAGUGCUAAGUGUUGGGAGGCUUCUGCCUCUCAGUGCUGCAGCUAACGCAUUAAGCACUCCGCCUGGGGGAGUACGACCGCAAGGUUGAAAC
rnacentral:rRNA from 1 species